rnacentral:rRNA from 1 species
UGGGGAAUAUUGCACAAUGGGCGGAAGCCUGAUGCAGCGACGCCGCGUGAGGGAUGACGGCCUUCGGGUUGUAAACCUCUUUCAGUAGGGAAGAAGCGUAAGUGACGGUACCUGCAGAAGAAGCGCCGGCUAACUACGUGCCAGCAGCCGCGGUAAUACGUAGGGCGCAAGCGUUAUCCGGAAUUAUUGGGCGUAAAGAGCUCGUAGGCGGUUUGUCGCGUCUGCCGUGAAAGUCCGGGGCUCAACUCCGGAUCUGCGGUGGGUACGGGCAGACUAGAGGUAUGCAGGGGAGAAUGGAAUUCCUGGUGUAGCGGUGAAAUGCGCAGAUAUCAGGAGGAACACCGGUGGCGAAGGCGGUUCUCUGGGCAUUACCUGACGCUGAGGAGCGAAAGUGUGGGGAGCGAAC